rnacentral:lncRNA from 1 species
CAGUUGUUAAUUUAAUACGGACUCAGCAUUUACUAAUACAUUAUUAAAUCCAAAAGCUGUAUCUCUUCGUAUCCCUUAUGCACAGUUGUAUUAACUACCGUUAAAAAAAGAAUGAAUAGAGCACGUUAUGUAUUGCCAAAAUCCCUUUAAGGGCUUUUUUUUUUUAUUCUAUAGUCUUUGGUAUUGCUCAUUGUCAGCUAGUUAGUUAACGGAUCUUUAUUGUAAAGUGUUACCUUUCUUAUAAUUAUUAUUGAUGGCCAUUGUUUUAAACUUUGCGUUGGGAUAUAGCUAAUGCUCACACGCUGAACAUUUGUUGUGCAAGGGUAUACAUGUAAAUUAAGAUUUACAUAAAGUGCAACAUUGUCAUUAUCUUGUUCACAUACUUUCAUUGUGGAAUUACGCAGGUCAAACAUUUAGUUAGGAAAUCAAUAAUAGAGUUGUUACACAUAAUUAGAUACAUGACACAGACAUUACUUGUAAUUAAUCUAAUAUAAUCUAAUAGUCACUGAGUGAAACAGUUCUCUCCUCUUCAUGUUUUCAUUAACAACAAACAAAUGCAUCCACAAUGUACAAACAAGAAUGUGAGAGGAAUUUAUACAUUUAUGCAGAGGACAGAUUUGUGAAAUGAAACGGAUGUCAGUUAAAUACUUCUAGUAAAAACUACACUGUUUUUGAGACUAGGGUCCCUUGUGUAUUACUCUAAAAAAGAAAAAAAAAAAUUAAACUGUGAUAUUUACUGGCAGUAAACGCAGCGAUACUUCCAUAUUUUUAUAAACCAAAUAUACACGGACUAACAGAAGAUUUUCUUGUCAGUAUACAAUACCCGUUUCACAGAUGACUAUUAGAAAUAAUGUCCUCCCAACAACAGCACAUCACGUAAACAAAAAAAAAUGGUUUUGAAACAUAUAAACCGUAGGAUUAAAAACUUUUAAAUAUUAUUUUAAGGAUUUUUGGCAUUAAAAUCAUGUAAAAAUGAUUCCCUUUCCUGAAGUAAAAAUGUGCAUUCAACCAUU